CAGAUACUACAUUAGAAUAGCACUACAGUAGCAAUCUUGCUAAAUGUGUAAAUCAUUUACUGUAAUAUGUUAGGAUUGCUGUGGUAACUUCUCUGUAUUGGAUCCCCUUUCUGGACUAUUUUUAUUCAUAAGACGCACUGGAUUAUAAGACGCAUUAAGUGACAGUAGUAAGAAUGCAUACGUGAAGAAAACAAGGGUCUCGCCUUGUUUCUCUUCUAAUUCAGCAGGUUCUGCUGCUGGGGAAGCACCUAAGUGUACAAAAUUGCACUUCUUAACAAAAAACUUUUCUUUCUAAUUGAAUCGAGCACUGGAUGUUAAUCUACACAGAUUUCUCUCCUGAAAUCUGUUUAUUUGGGACACUUCCCACAUGACACACCCCACAGGACGCUGCCCACAGGAUGCUGCUGACUGAAGAUUUCUUGCUGCAGUGACAACUCACAAUGGGACAGGAACACUUCCAUCACCUCAGUCCAUCCCAAGGGCAGCUGUGGUCUAAAGGUAAAAGAAGCAAGAUUGGGACCAGAAGGUUGCUGGUUUAAGCCCCAGGACCAGGAUUCAUUUAGAGCUGAGGGAAUCUUGGCUUACAACAUUAGCGCCCCACCCUCUGUGAAAAGUUUAUAGUACAUUUUUACUGUGGGGAAAGCUUACAGCAUAUUAAUUUCACUGUAAAUGAACAGUAAAAUAAAAAUACUGGCAGCAGAAACA
rnacentral:lncRNA from 1 species